rnacentral:lncRNA from 1 species
AGGUGGAUGUGGAAGGGGAUGGGAGGGCUGCCCAAGUCGUGUCAUGUGUGUGGAGACUACCAUCGACCGCCUACCAAAUAAAAAUGGUUUCCCAAUCUCAGGGUACCACUAUGUGUAAUCUAACGAGUGUUACAGAUCCAAAGCACGAUCCAUCUAAGAAACCCACCCCAACUGGUUGUUCCACAUUGCAAUAUAUUCAUUAUACAC